rnacentral:rRNA from 1 species
UACGUAGGGGGCUAGCGUUGUCCGGAAUCAUUGGGCGUAAAGAGCGUGUAGGCGGUCCGGUAAGUCCGUUGUGAAAGUCAAGGGCUCAACCCUUGAAUGCCGGCGGAUACUGUCGGGCUAGAGUCCGGAAGAGGCGAGUGGAAUUCCUGGUGUAGCGGUGAAAUGCGCAGAUAUCAGGAGGAACACCUAUUGCGAAGGCAGCUCGCUGGGACGUUACUGACGCUGAGACGCGAAAGCGUGGGGAGCAAACAGG